rnacentral:misc_RNA from 1 species
GUGAAUCAUCAAAUUUUUGAACGCACAUUGCACUCCCUGGUAUUCCGGAGAGUAUGCCUGUUUGAGGGUCAGUUUAAAUAAAAAUCGGUGUGGUUGCUGCCUUUCGUGGUGACGCACCGGAUUUGGGAUGUCCUGCCUUGGGUUAAGUGCCCUUAAACUUUGCAUGAAUUUUUCGAACGUAUUUAAUUGAUUGUCUGUACGUUAGCGCUAUCGAAUACUA